ensembl:lncRNA
AUUGAAAAAUGUAUUCAAAAUAAGUGGAUAUAAAGUAUUUUUAGGUUGUAUAUACUCAGUUAUUCAUACUCAGGGACUUUUGGCCUGGGUCUGGCGUAGGGGGCGGGGCAUCAACCGAGAGGGGCGUGUCAUCAUGAGUCCUGUUGCUUUUGGGGAAGGGACAUGGGUUUACCAAGUUGACCAAAAACUAAUAUAGCAUGAGUUCAACAUCUCGCACGUUGAACAUUAGCAGUGGAACAUAAAGUGUAGAGUACGGUAUAAAACAUUUUCUUGGUAUCAUUGGUGGAAAAGGCGAAUGAAACCAUGUGAGGCCAUUGUGUUAUAUUUGAUCACGUUACGGUUUGGGGGAGUUAUUGGGGUCAAAGCAAAGACAAUAACAAUAUAAAUCGGAGGCACACGGCUUAUGUGGAAAACUGAUCCGGCCAAAACAAAAAUAGUCCCUGUGUCAGUACAGACCGGUGAGGUGGUGGCAUGUCCUCAUGGUUAUGCAGAUAGACAGCACCACAGGGACGGCAAUGAGUUUGUGUUAAAAAUAAAAAAGCUAGCAGGGAGAGGUGAUUCUGCAGAGAAGAGAUAUCAGGAAGAUGAGAGGACAUCCCCUUUAUUCUCAACGAGGAGGAUCCCAACGUCAAUGAGGCAGAUUGAGUCAUCGUCCGAGUCCUUAACUAAUGAUAACACAAUUAUAACAUAUAAUAAUAACAAUUAGUAACGCUUAUCAAUGCAACCUUGUUACAGGAGAGUCAGACACUCGAAGGACUGUGUGAAACGGUUAUGACAGAUUGUAUUACACAGCGGGUUCUUAGAAAUCUGCUGGAUUGCCACUAAGGGAAACAGGAAGCCCUCGGACGUGCGCUGACGUUUGACUGAAGUCAUAAGGAUUAUAUCUGAUGUUUACAGUAUUAUAACUGUGUGUAUAUAUAUAUUUAUUUAAAAACUGCAUGUCUGCAUGCUGUCCGCCUACCAAUCAACAGUCUUCCUCCGCCCUGCUGGUAUCAGGUCAACAAGAGCAACAUGCUCUGUCAGGUAACAACCACAUUUUCCCUGGUGUGUCCCUGGAGUCAGCCCCGGGCCUCAGCUGCCCUCUGACAAAUAGACACUUAAGGACAAAGAUGCUCUUUUGGAGAAACAGUCACACCCAGUUUGUUCCUGCUUCCUUUGUUGUGCCACCCACGGCGGUCUACGCGUUCGGCUCCGGUCGGUGGGCAUCUCAGCCCCUUGGUAUGAGAAAAGGACAGACAAACAGAACGGACACUGAUUUGACAAAUCAAAUCAAUAUGUGCUGAAGGCUUUAAAAAUGGUCAUCGUCACUUUGUCCGGGUCUCCCACCAUUAGGACACUUAAAUGCCUCAGUUAGUCCAGCCUUUCAUGUUCAAUUGCUUAGCCCACACCUGUCGACAUAGUGAAUCGUUCCUGCCAGCAAACAUCGGUCUGAAUGCAUAAUUCAAUUCACGGGGAUUAAUGAAGGAUUCUUUCUUCUUUUUCAUUUCCCCUUAAUUCCAUUUUUUCUCCAUUAUGGUGUUGGAAUUUAAGAAUGUUCUUCAAAUAUCCAGCUGCCCCUUUUGUCUCAUCGUCUGUCUCAUCUACACCUUGCCUUAUUUCCUCUUUCUAUAGACAAAGCAAUACCUCCAGGGAAAGUAUCUGUAAGUGAAGGUUUGCUUUUGAAAAUGAACCCUUCUUAUUGAAUCAAAUGGAGCAUGGACUCUGGGAGGAAGGCAGGGAAAGGUCAGCAGACUGAGAAGAUUUAAUGAAUAUUGAAUCCAACACUACUCACUCUCUCUUUCUCACACACACACACACACACACACACACACACACACACACACACACAGCCAAGACCCGAAGACCUUAAAUGUUUUAAGCAAAAUGAAUUCUCUGUAUGUCAUGGUUGUGUCUAUGUCUGUAUUAUUAAAAGCAAUAGUAAUAUCAAUGAAGAAAUGUAGUUGCACAAUGUUCCCCCGUUGUGCAACAGAUGGUGGAACUACAACUCUCGUUGACGUGCAGGAGAGAACAGAAGUAUUGAUUUUUCUUUUGAGACUUUAAAAGUCAUUGCUGGUUUAUUUAGUUUGUUUUCACAGGUUCCAGCCACUACAGCUGAUUUAAUGCUUUUAAAGCUGUUAAAGCAUCAAAUUAUUAAUAUUGUAUCUGCUGAAUGUGUAAAUUGGCAACUUUUUGCUCACUCGUUUGCUUUACACUGCACUGUUGGUACAUCUAAUGUGAUCUAAUUGGUUUUGGAAUAUUAUCGUGUGUUUGCAAAAUGGUUGUGUUAGGAGUUGUGAUUGCAUUAUUGGCCAUUCCCAAGGUGACAGUUACUGUCAUAACUGCUUUGAUUUAUUAAUGACAGAUACAGGAUCUUAAAUGGAUGGAAUUGUACAUUCCACUGCACAUUCUGUCCCAAUCCCUUAACUUUAUGUUGCCCUUGGAAUUUAACGACAACUGUCAAUACCAAUAAUGUGCUCUGUGCACAGUGAGCAAGACAGUGAGCACAAUACAUUCCAACGCCACAAAGGCAUUGAGAGAAGACAUGAACAUGCUGUACAUUUUCCAACAUAAGGAAAGGUUGGCAUCCACAUCAAUCUUUAUUCAAACGUUAGGGUUACCUUGACUGAAACAUUACAUUGACCCUUACUAAAUUACUUUAUCUUCUGUUACAUUACGUUUUCUCGCAUAAAUAGUAUUACACUUUAACCUUUGUGACCAUGUGCACUUAUCCACUAAGAAAUGUUUACACCAAAAGGAAAACAGUAAUCAGUUUCGUUGUUUUGAAAUCCUUUUCUUUUUUGACAGCAUUUCAACGGGUUUUCAGUAUUUGAACUGCUUUCAUGUCCAAAAAUAAUGUAGAACUACAGAUGUGUAGGGAACAGCGAACACAUAAAAGGUUCAUUUGGCCAGUUUAAGUAUGUAUAGAAUCGUUUUUUGCGGUAGAAGCAAAAUAUAAGAAGGGUAGAAGAAGAAGAGCAACGACAGAAUAAGCAUAAAUCCAAGCCGUGGUCUCCUGCACGUCCCCUUUGUCGAGGCAGAGGUGCUGCUCGCCUCCCCUCUGUGCUUUUGCACAGCAGUUUGUGACGGCAAGACCAAAUAGGUUCUACACAUUGACAAACAAUGAGAAAGCAAAAGGUGCACCCUUAACCCAGUCUGUGAGGGGUGGAACAAUCUGAGGUGCGACACAUCUGAAAUAAGGGAGACGUUACUGGUGCGUCUGGUGUGAGUGAAUUGAGCGUUUCUCUUUGACUCCGGCGUAACCCACAAGGAUGCAAUACUGGCACUUCUAGCACUGCACAUCACCAACUUUAACUACUUGCUGGUUACAAAAAGUAAUAAGUAAUGUGUUAGUGUUAGUAAUGUCUAAUGUUGUUUUUUUUACCUUAACUGAAUUCAACUCUUUCUAUACAAGUUUUAUAUUAUAACUUCCUUGACUGGAGCAUUUUAAAAUUGACAUUAUAACUUCACUUGCUUUUUGGCAACAAAAAAACCCUCAAUUUCACACUGACAUUUCAGGCUGGAAGCCACAUCAAAGGUUUCUGAAGUUGAAAGUCCCCACUGCUGACAGUCAGCUACAAAUGCAAGAGAAUUAGGACAAGCAAACCUGAACUGCUUAGACAUAGAAAAACUAAUUUCUACAAUAGGCACAUUUCCAUCAUAGGAUUCACCUUUUGCAUCACUUGGAUACAUUUUGUAAUGCUUAUAGGCAGGAGCACACAGAAUUAGGAAGUCAGCUUUGUUGAAACAUAGCUGAACAGCACCUCCUUACAGCUAACAACGAGCAACAUUUACUCAUGUUAAAUUGAAAAAUGUGCAAUUUUGGUUGAAAUAUUAAAUGCACAGGAAUCCUUUAAUGGGUUAUGCUAUGGCAGCUGGCGUCCAAUGAGCUGUAGCUGCCACCCAGAAGGGCCCUGACCCCCACUGGGCUGUGUGAUAAUGCAGGAUUACGCACGGUUAAGAAAAAAUUCAAAUAAUAUCCCAUUCUAAUCAGAAUCAGGAACAUUUAUUGCCAAAGUAUGUUAGAGAUGCAAGGAAUCUGACAUGGCAGUUGGUGCUUAACAUUGGACACUAACAUCUUGUAAUAUCCUACUGAAAUGAGUACAUGACAGUACAUGUCAGAUGUAUAGUCAUAAAACCCCCCUUGGUUAUCACCCAAAGCACACGUUUGCUCCUUUUCUUUGUUAUAAAUGUUGAGUAGCAGGUCUUCUAUGCAUUCUGCAUCGGUGAGAAUUUACAGCACAUAUUAAUUGUUUCUUUUUAUCCUUUUUUCCCUCAAUAAAUUCCCCUUCAUGAGUUAGUACUAUUAGUUGUUUUUUCCUUACCCAAUUUUUACCCAAGUUGGAUUAUGAAUGUAGAUCUUCUAUUUGUAAAGGAGUAUAUUUACAUUGUGAUGAUCUUUACCCACCACUGCAGUCAUUGACUGCGGUUCCCUUCAAAUUGUAAAUAAUGUUUUGUUUUGUUUGUAGUUUUUCCCCUUUGUACACUCGGCCAGAAUCUGUACUUCUUUAUUCGCAAACAUGUUGGUAUAUCUGCGGUCAUUAAAUAUGCAUUGUUGUUACUGAGCCGCUGCAAAAUGUGCCUAUACUGCUAUUUGAUUUACACGUGAAGAAACUAUUCCCAGCCACGUUAAAAGGAAAAUAAAAUAGCACUUUAGAAAGACUUAGAAAUGCUGGAAAUUUGAUUAGUGAGAAUCUCAUUCGUGGCGAGCUAGACUCUGAGUUAAUGUGGCGUCUGCUUCUGUUGUUCCUUGCAGUUAAAUUAGCACGAGUAAUAUGAUUAUAGAAGCCUACUUAUUGCAAUCACUUGGUCUUCUUAACUGUGUUUGUUCAUGGUCAGCAAUUGAAUAUUUCCUCUAACUCAUUAUGACUCUCCCUAUCCCCCAAAGCAGAACAGACAAAACACCUGCUCCUGUGUAUCUUCAUUUAUUUUUCCUGAUUGCUUUAUUUUGUUUGCACUGUCUUCCUUUAGUCCAAAGCGUCUUUGCUCUGUGUCGCGCUGCUCAUAAUCCACCUCAGUCAACUUCUCCCUUUCCUCCUCCUAAUGGAAGCCGAACGGAGACUAUACGAUGAGGAGGUUAACAAUAGAUUAGUCAAAACAUCUGCUCCCCCAUUCAUCUCCUUCCUGUUCCUGACGAUCUAAUGAACACAGAUGUGUUAAUCAACUUGAGAGGACCCCCCCCCCCCGACCACAUCUGGCUUUCAAUCAUCUUAAUCCAAACGGGAUGUCCUAAAUCUUUAGUCUAAUCUCAGGUGAACACAGAGGAGUUUGACAUUACAAACGGGAAGAUAAGUCAUAUUGUAGAACAAACUCGGUGCAUCCACGCACACAGCGUUGGGCCUCAAGCUGAGACCGAUGUGACAGGAUCAAUUCCUGACAAAUUAUCAGGCCCUUUGGAGUUGGUGUUAACCUUUUCAACUCAAGCCAUCUGCCGCCCUCAUGGGCAGGCACAUUCAUUAGGGUGUGUUUCCAGCAAUAGCAGAUCUCUGAAAUAGUCAAGCAGAGUAUACAAGUAUUCCUCAAAAAAAUACAUUUACAGUGCUUGAAUAUAUGCAGCUUCUUACUGACAAGGGUGUUAAUUUACAUUUUGUCUGUCUGCUGAUCUCAUAAAUUCUGAUUGUUACAGUAAAGUUCAGGAUUGAACACUAGGAAUAAUUUUCUUUAAUAUAAAUUCCAAGCCCAACUAACAGAUGAAAAUAAAGUUGAACCUUGAAACCUGAAAAAACAGAAAUGAGAAAAGCUGAAUGAAUAUCAAAAAUUGCUGAAAAUUUAGUAUUUUUAGUAUCAAUAGCGGUAGAAAUGCUAGUAGUAGUGGUGUUAGUAAUAGUAGCAGUACCACUUGUAGUAGUAUUAGUAGUAAUAUCACUAGUAAUUGUUGUACUAUUUGAAACAGCAAUAAGUAAUGAAAGCUACGUCAUGAAAUCAGAAUUUCCAAUCACUCGAUCAAAAAACUAUGCAAUUGUGAAACUGCUGGCGAAAUAGAAAUAUGUUUUUAACCCGAUUCUGAAGCUUCUCUUCACUCUGGCUUUUCAGUCUCCACUGUAGGUACUCACAGACACACCAAUGUAAAUCUCAGAAACUCAUUAAACAUAAUCAGUGAUAUUGAAAAAAGUUUAA